GACGAACGCUGGCGGCGUGCUUAACACAUGCAGGUCGAACGGAAAGGCCCUGCUUUUGUGGGGUGCUCGAGUGGCGAACGGGUGAGUAACACGUGAGUAACCUGCCCUUGACUUUGGGAUAACUUCAGGAAACUGGGGCUAAUACCGGAUAGGAGCUCCUGCUGCAUGGGGGGGGUUGGAAAGUUUCGGCGGUUGGGGAUGGACUCGCGGCUUAUCAGCUUGUUGGUGGGGUAGUGGCUUACCAAGGCUUUGACGGGUAGCCGGCCUGAGAGGGUGACCGGCCACAUUGGGACUGAGAUACGGCCCAGACUCCUACGGGAGGCAGCAGUGGGGAAUAUUGCACAAUGGGCGGAAGCCUGAUGCAGCAACGCCGCGUGCGGGAUGACGGCCUUCGGGUUGCAAACCGCUUUCGCCUGUGACGAAGCGUGAGUGACGGUAAUGGGUAAAGAAGCACCGGCUAACUACGUG
rnacentral:rRNA from 1 species